CCUCAAACUAAUUGAAUGGCUCCAAAAGAAAAAAAUACUGAGAUGGAAAGUCAAGUGCAACCGGUGUCAUCACAAAAUGAAGCUGAAGAAAAAGAUGGUGGAUCUGUGGACCGAUUUGAAUGCUUGAUUUCAUGAUGGACAACAUUGCUGCAUCCUCAAGAACCCUUUCAAGAAUGGCAAAGCAACGGGAGGUCUGCGUGACAGCGAUGGAGAGGCUGCAUCAUAGAGAAGGACAGAGAAUUGGGGGAAGGAGCAUUUCGUGGUGAUAGAUGAGUCACUUCAGACAUAAAAGAAAGUAUGGAAGGGGCAGGAUGGCUGGGGGCUGGAAGCGGAGGAAGUGGGUGUUCGGGAUGCUGGGGGUGCAAAGCACGCGGA